GCAGCACGGGGUAGCAAUACUCUGGUGGCGACCGGCGCACGGGUGAGUAACGCGUAUGCAACCUACCCUGUACAGGGGGAUAGCCCGGAGAAAUUCGGAUUAAUACCCCAUAAUGAUAUCGAGAGGCAUCUUUUGAUAUUUAAAGUUUCGACGGUACGGGAUGGGCAUGCGUGACAUUAGCUAGUUGGUAGGGUAACGGCCUACCAAGGCUUCGAUGUCUAGGGGUCCUGAGAGGGUGAUCCCCCACACUGGUACUGAGACACGGACCAGACUCCUACGGGAGGCAGCAGUGAGGAAUAUUGGUCAAUGGGCGUAAGCCUGAACCAGCCAUCCCGCGUGCAGGAAGAAGGCGCUAUGCGUCGUAAACUGCUUUUCCAGGGGAAGAAAACCCGCUACGUGUAGCGGCUUGCCGGUACCCUGGGAAUAAGCAUCAGCUAACUCCGUGCCAGCAGCCGCGGUAAUACGGAGGAUGCGAGCGUUAUCCGGAUUUAUUGGGUUUAAAGGGUGCGUAGGCGGAUUAAUAAGUCAGCGGUGAAAACCUUCAGCUUAACUGGAGACUUGCCAUUGAUACUGUUAGUCUUGAGUAC
rnacentral:rRNA from 1 species